rnacentral:rRNA from 1 species
AGAGUUUGAUCAUGGCUCAGAGCGAACGCUGGCGGCAGGCUUAACACAUGCAAGUCGAGCGGGCGUAGCAAUACGUCAGCGGCAGACGGGUGAGUAACGCGUGGGAACAUACCUUUUGGUUCGGAACAACACAGGGAAACUUGUGCUAAUACCGGAUAAGCCCUUACGGGGAAAGAUUUAUCGCCGAAAGAUUGGCCCGCGUCUGAUUAGCUAGUUGGUAGGGUAAUGGCCUACCAAGGCGACGAUCAGUAGCUGGUCUGAGAGGGAUGAUCAGCCACAUUGGGACUGAGACACGGCCCAAACUCCUACGGGAGGCAGCAGUGGGGAAUAUUGGACAAUGGGGGCAACCCUGAUCCAGCCAUGCCGCGUGAGUGAUGAAGGCCCUAGGGUUGUAAAGCUCUUUUGUGCGGGAAGAUAAUGACGGUACCGCAAGAAUAAGCCCCGGCUAACUUCGUGCCAGCAGCCGCGGUAAUACGAAGGGGGCUAGCGUUGCUCGGAAUCACUGGGCGUAAAGGGUGCGUAGGCGGGUUUUUAAGUCAGGGGUGAAAUCCUGGAGCUCAACUCCAGAACUGCCUUUGAUACUGAAGAUCUUGAGUCCGGGAGAGGUGAGUGGAACUGCGAGUGUAGAGGUGAAAUUCGUAGAUAUUCGCAAGAACACCAGUGGCGAAGGCGGCUCACUGGCCCGGUACUGACGCUGAGGCACGAAAGCGUGGGGAGCAAACAGGAUUAGAUACCCUAGUAGUCC